rnacentral:lncRNA from 1 species
AGCCUAAAGAACUCGAAGACCAGCCAUGAUGCUUUGUUAGCAAAAGGCGAUGAACUGAACGGACAGCUUAAAGAGGAGCGGCUAAAGUGGUUCCAUCUUCAAAAAAAAAAUGCAAUUAGUAACUAUUUCAAGCAGAGGGACAGAAGAGUUACAGGAAGGAAUAAACAAUUCAGAAAAAGAGAAUGAGUUCUUGAAAAAAAACUACGAUAAGCUGCAUGAGUGUCUUCUGUAUGACCCAUGAACAGCAAUGGAAAUCAAAGGAACAGCAACUGAAACGCAAAUUGCUAAACUAGAGAUGGCUAUCAAAUCCGAUUUAGCAGACAAAAAUGCAAUCCUUGACAAGAUCAAAGUAGAAAGAGUGAUAAAUGUGGAUCAGGCAGAUAAUUGUGCAGAAGGAGAGUAUCUCAAGUCUGUUCUAAAGCCAGAUCCACUCGCUGACAGAUCUGAGUUUCACGUCUUGGCCGGAAAACAGGUUUUACUGGAAUGCAGCAGGGAACACCAUGAAAUAAUUACUUGUUGGGAUGGAAAUACCAUACCAAAACAAUUCGUAGGUUUGGAGAUUUAAAAAAAAAAAAAGAUACUUCACUUAAUAAGCAAGCAAAUGAUUUAUUCUACCAUAUAGAAUAGGAAAAUGGAUAAUGUUGUUCUAAAAUUUGACAAUACCAAGGAUAAAAUACUCCUUUUUUUCUUUUUUUUUCCCUGAGGGAUAAAUUAGCAAUGGGAAAUAGCUAGCAUGUGGGAUGCAAUUUCUCCUAUAAAUACUUGAAUAUUUAUAAAAAUUAUUUUACAAGCCUGAUGUGAAAGUAAG